UACCUUUGUUGCUUUGGCGGGCCCGUUUGGCCCCGCGCUGAACAACCGGCCCCGGCUGGUCAGUGCCCGCCAGAGAACCGAAAACUCUGAAUUAAAUGUCGUCUGAGUACUAUGUAAUAGUUAAAACUUUCAACAACGGAUCUCUUGGUUCUGGCAUCGAUGAAGAACGCAGCGAAAUGCGAUAAGUAAUGUGAAUUGCAGAAUUCAGUGAAUCAUCGAAUCUUUGAACGCACAUUGCGCCCUCUGGUAUUCCGGGGGGCAUGCCUGUUCGAGCGUCAUUACAACCCUCAAGCUCUGCUUGGUAUUGGGCUACACCCGACUGGGUGGGCCUUAAAAUCAGUGGCGGUGCCAUCUGGCUCUAAGCGUAGUAAUUCUUCUCGCUCUGGAGAUCUAGGUGUUUGCUUGCCAGCAACCCCCAAUUUAUCAAAGGUUGACCUCGGAUCAGGUAGGGAUACCCGCUGAACUUAAGCAUAU
rnacentral:rRNA from 1 species